rnacentral:rRNA from 1 species
UACGAAGGGGGCGAGCGUUGUUCGGAAUUACUGGGCGUAAAGGGCGCGCAGGCGGCCCUUGAAGUCAGGCGUGAAAGCCCCGGGCUCAACCUGGGAGGUGCGCUUAGAUACUCGAGGGCGUUGAGUGCGGGAGAGGAGAGUGGAAUUCCCAGUGUAGAGGUGAAAUUCGUAGAUAGUUGGGAAGAACACCGGUGGCGAAGGCGGCUCUCUGGACCGUAACUGACGCUGAGGCG